rnacentral:rRNA from 1 species
UUUAUGGAGAGUUUGAUCCUGGCUCAGGAUGAACGCUGGCGGCGUGCCUAAUACAUGCAAGUCGAGCGAACGGACGAGAAGCUUGCUUCUCUGAUGUUAGCGGCGGACGGGUGAGUAACACGUGGAUAACCUACCUAUAAGACUGGGAUAACUUCGGGAAACUGGAGCUAAUACUGGAUAAUAUUUUGAACCGCAUGGUUCAAAAGUGAAAGACGGUCUUGCUGUCACUUAUAGAUGGAUCCGCGCUGCAUUAGCUAGUUGGUAAGGUAACGGCUUACCAAGGCAACGAUGCAUAGCCGACCUGAGAGGGUGAUCGGCCACACUGGAACUGAGACACGGUCCAGACUCCUACGGGAGGCAGCAGUAGGGAAUCUUCCGCAAUGGGCGAAAGCCUGACGGAGCAACGCCGCGUGAGUGAUGAAGGUCUUCGGAUCGUAAAACUCUGUUAUUAGGGAAGAACAUAUGUGUAAGUAACUGUGC